rnacentral:rRNA from 1 species
UACGUAGGGCGCAAGCGUUGUCCGGAAUUAUUGGGCGUAAAGAGCUCGUAGGCGGCUUGUCACGUCGGGGUGUGAAAGCCCGGGGGCUUAACCCCGGGUCUGCAUUCGAUACGGGCUAGCUAGAGUGUGGGUAGGGGAGAUCGGAAUUCCUGGUGUAGCGGUGAAAUGCGCAGAUAUCAGGAGGAACACCGGUGGCGAAGGCGGAUCUCUGGGCCAUUACUGACGCUGAGGAGCGAAAAGCGUGGGGAGCGAACAGG